rnacentral:lncRNA from 1 species
GCCUCAAUUCUACUUGUAUUAUGCAAUUCGAGUAUUUUCAUUACAAUUUCAGUGGUAAUUCAUUACAAAUUGGUAUCAAAGAAAAUCCUAGCCCUAACAAUGAUGGUAACUAAAAUGCGAUACAAAUACAUGGAGGACUUUGUCAAGAAGGUGGAUACUCAGCUUCAAAGCCACAUAGCUGAAGUGGAGAAGAAGUUCAAAUCUCACAAUGCGAAGUUGGACGAUCUGGGGAAGAAAUUGGAUGUAUGGAUGGAGCGUUUAAUUCCACAGCAGGAAGGAAUUUUGGGUAGCGGGCCACGCGAUAAAGGUCAUUCCGAAGGGCCUAGUAACCGUGCUAGAAUGGGGGAGCAGAUGGACCAAGGAUGGAGUCGCAAUCCAGGAAAUUAUCAUCAUCUUAGAGUUGAGUUUCCCUUCUUUGAUGGAACUGACCCUUGCUCUUGGUUGCUCAAAGGGGAGAGGUACUUCCAAUACCAUCACAUCUAGGACCGGUAGCAAAAAUUAGAGAUUACAUUUCUUCACCUGCAAGACAAGGCAGAGUUAUGGUAUUUUUCAUAUCACCUAAGUAGAGGUAAUAUGAAAUAGCAGGACUUCACUGAUGAAAUAUGUAGAAGGUUUGAGGGAGCUCAUAAUAGUAAGCUGAAUCUGAUGGUGAAUGAGUAGAUGAGGAGGUUUUGUAAGAAUCCAUUAGCCUAAAUGCUUUAUCUGGCACAGAGGUGACUAAUACCAUUAGGCUACAGGGAGAAGCUAAGAAGAACAAAGUGACUAUUCUCUUGGGCAGCACCCACAGUUUCUUGGACAUGGUACUGCCAGGAAGAUUGGGUGCAAUCUAUGUGAGGCUACUCCUAUGAGGGUAACUAUAGCUAAUGUGACUCAUAUUCUGAGUCGACACUUCUGUCCUAAUUUCAAGUGGAAGAUACAAGGGGCGGAAUUUGAGGACUCUAUUAGACUGGUAAGAUUGGGUGGCAAUGAUAUCAUUCUUGGUGGAGACUGGAUGAAGGACCAUAAUCCAGUGUUGCUGGACUUUGUAGAAUAUAAGGUGGAGGUGACUCACAAAGCCAAGCAGGUGGAAUUGAAGGGAAUGUACCACCAGGCAGAGUUGAAAAGCAUGUCGGCCAGUAGUGUAAAACAACUAUUCAAAAAGGGGCAAGCUAUUUGGGCUCACCUUUUUACUGUUACUGCUACUAGUGUUGAGGACAAGGAGGUGAUUCCAUGUGAAAUCCAACUGAUCUUGGAUGAUUUUCCUGAUGUAUUUGUUGAACCAAAAACCCUGUCACCACAAAGAAUCCAUGAUCAUCAUAUUACCUUAAAGAAGGAUGCAGAACCAGUUAAUUUCAGACCAUACAGGCAUAAUUAUUUUCAAAAAGUUGAGAUUGAGAAACAGGUGUCAGACAUGCUGACACAGGGGACUAUUCAACCUAUUCACUCCCCUUUUCCAUCUCCAAUGUUACUAGUUAAGAAAAAAAUGGAAGUUGGAGAUUUUGUAUUGAUUACAGGGCACUUAACAAAAUCACUGUUAAGGAUAAGUUUUCCAUGCCCCUAGUAGAAGACUUGAUGGAUGAAUUUACGGUUCUACUAUUUUUUCAAAGAUUGACUUAAGAGUAGGGUAUCACCAAAUUCGGAUGAGGACUGAAUACAUCUACAAAACAGGAUUUGUUACACAUAUGGGACACUAUGAGUUUAAGGUCAUGCCCUUUGGGUUGAUCAAUGUCCCGAUAAAUUUCCAAAGCCUCGUGAAUCGUGUGUUCAGAGAUUACUUGAGGAAGUUUGUGUUGAUUUUUUUAUGACAUAUUGGUGUACAGUUCUACAUUACUGGAGCAUCUAGAUCAUCUGAGAAAAGUGUUAAUGGUGCUGAGACAUAAGAGACUCUUUGCUAAGAUGUCUAAAUGCUCAUUCGGUCAGUCUCAAGUGGAAUACCUCGGUCAUAUUAUUACUGGACAUGGUGUGUCUGCUGACCCGGCCAAGAUUGAUGCGAUGGUUAAUUGGCCUAAACCCAAAUCAAUGAAGAGUUUAAGGGGGUUUCUAGGACUCACCGGAUACUAUAGGAGGUUUGUUUAUUCCUAUGGGAUUAUCAGUAGACCUCUCACUAACAUGUUGAAUAAGAAUGCAUUUUAAUGGAAUGAGGAGGAUGAGCUUGCUUUUGAACGACUUAAGGUAGCUAUGACUACAGUUCCAGUCUUGGCUCUCGCUGAUUUUACCAAACCAUUCAUUAUUAAGACUGAUGCAUGUUGUAAAGGAAUGGGGGAAGUAUUAAUGCAAGAAGGGAGACCCUUAGUAUAUUCUAGCAAGGCAUUGGGACCUAGAAACUUGGGCCUCUCCACUUAUGAAAAAGAAUACAUGGUUGUACUAGCAGUUGUUGAUAGAUGGAAACAUUACUUGCAAGGGGGCCAUUUUAUAAUCAAAACAGAUCAGCAGAGCUUAAAGUACCUCUUGGACCAAAGGGCUACUACAUUAUUGCCACAAAAGGGACUGACUAGACUAAUGGGACUAGAUUUUGAGGUACAAUACAAGAAGGGCACCGAUAAUAGAGUGGCUGAUGCUUUAUCAAGGAGGGUUAAAGAGGAAGUGGCUGAAUUGAGGGCUAUCACUACUGUGGAACCGACAUGGAUGUUAGAAGUGUGCGAAAGCUAUGAGCAUGACCCUACAGCUCAACAAACUAAUUACAGCUUUAAUCACCAAUCCUAAUAGCAAACCUGAUUUUAGUUUGUAGCAGGGUAUUAUCAGAUAUAAAAUGAAGUUUUAUAUUGGAAGGAGCAUGGGAAUGCGAGAGAAAAUCUUUGAAGUAUUGCAUCAGUCCCCAUUGGGGGGCCAUUCAUGCCAACAGAGAACUUAUAAGAGGAUGCAAAUGAUUUUUUAUUGGCCUAACAUGAAGGCUGAUAUGGUGAGAUAAGUGUCUAUAUGUAAUCUUUGCCAGAGAAUCAAGACAAAAAAUGUGCCCUAUCCUGGGUUGCUUCACCCUCUACCUAUUUCGGAGGCUCCGUGGCAAGAUAUUGUCGUGGAUUUUAUUGAAGGUUUACUAACUUCUGGCCAUAACAAUACCAUUCUGGUUGUAGUGGAUAGGGUAUCUAAUUAUGGGCAUUUUCUGGGGUUGAAACAUCCCUACAAUGCCCAAGAGGUGGAUGAGCUCUUCCUUAAAGAAAUAUAUAAAUUGUAUGGCCUACCCAGGUCUUGUUUCAGAAAAGGACUCUAUCUUCACUGGCGAUUUUUGGCAGCACUUAUUCAAGGCCAUGGGAAAUAAGUUAAAUCUUUCUACUUCCUAUCACCCUCAGUCUGAUGGCCAGACUGAGCGACUGAACCACUUUCUGGAGACUUAUUUGAGAGCUAUGGUAUCCACCAAUCCCAAAUAAUGGAUCAAGUGGUUACCUUUAGUCAAAUGGUGGUACAACACCAAUCAUCACACUUCCUUAAAAUCUACCCCUUUUGAAGCCUUAUAUGGCUAUGUUCCUCCUCAGAUUCCACUGGGUUCCCCUUCACAAUCAACACACACUCAUGUUAGUCUUUGCCUUGCUCAACGACAACUAAUGAUUCAAGCUCUUAAGGACAAUCUUCACCAAUCUCGGGCUCGUAUAAAAUUUUUUACAGACAAAAAUCAUACAGGGAGGGAACUACUGGUCGGGGAUUUGGUUUAUCUUAAACUACAGCCCUAUCGACAAACUUCAGUAGUUGUUCAUUGAAACUUAAAGCUCAGUGCUAAAUUCUAUGGGGCCUACAAGGUGUUACAAUGUAUAGGGACAGUGGCUUACCAGCUAGAGCUUCCGACAGGAUCCACCAUCCAUCCUGUGUUUCUCGUCUCACAGCUCAAGCAUCGUAUCGGGCUCUCAGUUGUUGAGCAGCCAUUACCUCCUACUUGUUAUACAGAUGGAUGCAUCUUAGCCCAACCAGUGGUCAUUUUGCAACGUAGCUUAGUUCGAGAAAAUAAUGCUGCCACUGUUAAGCUUUUGGUUCAGUGGUCAAAUCUUGGCCCUGAGGAAGCCACAUUGGAAGACUGGGGCUACUUGAAGAGUCAAUUUCCAAUAUUUAUGACUCAACACCAACCUUGAGGACAAGGUUGUUUUUUAUCGGAGGGAUAGUGUAAUGAAUAAG